UGGCCUGAGGAAUAUCACGCGGCUUCUCGAGGUCAGCGCGGGAUUUGAACCAUAGUCGCUACUGGCCACACGCGGCGGCUGGAAGAGAAGGAGGAAGGAGGAGAGGGAAGGUUACUGUCUGUCCCUCUCAGGUUCCCUCCAGUCAUCUUCCUUCUCUACUCCGCAGCGCUGAAGCCCAGUGACCUGUGGUGUAGAGGGCGCCCCUGGUGGACGCGCCCAGAGCAACCAGUCUAGCAGGCAGGAUGGGCGGCAGAGGAGGAGGGAUGGAGCAAAACAGUCCUUCCCGAGAGGAGAGUGAAGAAACCACCCAGAACAACUGAUCCUUAGGGUGCUGCGGAGUGGGGAGGACGGACCCUGUCCCUGCCCUGGACCCUGUCCAGCUCUUGGCUUGGGGGGCAACAAGCAUCAGACAAAUGAUUAAAGAUGGGCAAUUUGAGUGGAGGGUGGAUGGGAGAAAUGAGCCUGGAAGCCUGGGUGCCAGGAGCUCUGGGACGACACUAAGUUGGACCCAAAGGGAGGAGGGGACAAGGCAGAUUGAAGCCAAAUGCUUCAGGCAGAAGGAACCAGGCCCCCAUGACUCAGACAUUCGAAAUGAGGCAACUUUAAAAAAAAUUUUGUUGAAGUUUAGUUGAUUUACAUGAAUGAGGAAAUUCUUAAUGAAAAGACAGAUACAGUGCUUUCUGUAUCUGUGUCAAAGCCAUUCCAUGAAAUACUUCCUAGGAGUUAAAACAAAUGAGCCAGAGCUGCAUGUACUGGAUUUGAAUGAUCCCCAAAAUUGAAGAAGGCCAGUUGCAGAAAGAUAUAUGUAUGCUGUGUACUGCCUUGUGUAUCAAAGUUUUUAAAUCUGCAAAAGAAUACCUUCCCAGAUAUUGUGUGGGUUGCACAAAUAUGUAGUAAAAGAAUGAAAAGCAGGGUGGGGGGUAGAAUAUAGCUCAAUUGGUAGGCUGCAUGCUUAGCAUGCAUGAGGUCCUGGGUUCAAUCCCCAGGACCUCCAUUAAGUAAAUAAAUACAUAAACCUAAUUAUCUCCCCCCUCAAUAAAAUAAAAUAAAAAGCUAUGUCAGAAUAUUAACUGUAAGAGAGUGGUUUCCCUGGAGGAGGGAAGGAGGGAGAAAUAUGACAUCUGGGAGGGGACACAGGAGACCCCAACUCAGUCAGUUAUAUUUUAUUUCUCUAAAUAAACAAAGGCUAAAAAUGUUGAGAUAUGAUAAAGAUAGGUGUGCACACACAAUUCAUCAUGACAAGUCUUCAAAAUCUGUUCUGUCUCCAUAUUUGAAAUAAUUAUUUUUAAAACAGAAAAAGGGGAUGGGACCAGAUGAUGCUCAGAUACAGUCAUAGAUGGGGGCAGGGAGCAAGAGCCAUUACCAGAAAGACCUACAUUUUUAUUUUUUAAUUUUUCUCAGCCCAUGGCUGCCCUCCUGAUGUAAAUUUGUGGGCGCCUUUUUUUUUUUUUAACUCCCUGUCCUACUAGAGGGUCUGAUACAUAGAAAGCUGCAAGAAAAGAGAGGAUGGGGUGAGGGUGUUACCUAAUCAAAUUUGGGUCUGCCCAUUCAUCAUAUAGCAAAGCCAAUCUAUGACUCCGGGGUGUGAUGAAGGAAAUUACAGCAUUUAUUUGCAGGUGCCAAGCAAGGAGA